rnacentral:ncRNA from 1 species
CAAAGGCAUGGUCCCGGCCUUAUUAUCAGCUCUAGCCCAACUUACACAUGCAAGUCUCCGCACCCCAGUGAAUAUACCCUCCACCUCCACAUCAUCGAGAAAGAGGAGAAGGCAUCAGGCACAAACAUUUAGCCCAAGACGCCUGGCCUGGCCACACCCCCAAGGGUACUCAGCAGUGAUAAAUAUUAAGCCAUAAGUGAAAACUUGACUCAGUCAGGACUAAGAGAGCCGGUAAAACUCGUGCCAGCCACCGCGGUUAGACGAGAGGCCCUAGUUGAUAAAACCACGGCGUAAAGAGUGGUUAAGGGAACAUAAAAAUAAAGCCGAAUGGCCCCCUGGCCGUCAUACGCUUCCAGGCGUCCGAAGCCCCUACUACACGAAAGUAGCUUUAAAAACUAACCUGACCCCACGAAAGCUGAGAAACAAACUGGGAUUAGAUACCCCACUAUGCUCAGCCGUAAACUUAGACAUCCCCACACAAUAAAAUGUCCGCCAGAGUACUACGAGCACUAGCUUAAAACCCAAAGGACCUGACGGUGUCUCAGAUCCGCCUAGAGGAGCCUGUUCUAGAAUCGAUAACCCCCGCUAAACCUCACCACUUCUAGUUAUCCCCGCCUAUAUACCGCCGUCGUCAGCUCACCCCGUGAGGGUAAUAAAGUAAGCAAGAUGGGCACAGCCCAGAACGUCAGGUCAAGGUGUAGCGCAUGAAGUGGGAAGAAAUGGGCUACAUUUUCUACCACAGAAUAUAAACGAAUAUGCACCAUGAAACAGUGCUUAAAGGAGGAUUUAACAGUAAAGGGGAAAUAGAGUGUCCCCUUGAAUCCGGCUCUGAGACGCGUACACACCGCCCGUCACUCUCCCUAUAACACGCACCGAAAAUAGCUAAUACAAUAGCACCUGUUUAAAGGGAGGAAAGUCGUAACACGGUAAGUGUACCGGAAGGUGCACUUGGACUAAACC